AAAAUAAAAAAAUUAAAUUAGAUUGAAAUUGAAUGAAAAAUAAAAUAACAAAUUAUUCUAUCGAAACGCCUAGAUUUGGGAAAGGGUUUUGAUUAAGAGAGAGAAGAGUAAGGGAGGGAGAGUAAGGAAGGUAUUUGUGAGAAAUAAUUUAGAGUGACUGAUUCAAAGUUGGAUAUAUCGGGCACUACAAUAAAAACGGUCUAUAGCGACAUUUUUAAAUGUCGGUACAGAUCAAAAAAAGUGCUGCUGGCUAAAUUACCGACACUUUUAAAAAGUGUUGUUAUAUGUGGGGUCGCUAGGUAUAUAGUGACAGUUAAAGAGUGUUGGUAUAAUCUAAAAAGAGUGCUGCUAAUUUACUAACAUUUAUUUAAGCAUUUCGCAACCGUCGGAACUCUACCUCGUUGGCUGCGGUGGCGGAGGAUGAGAAGGGGGAAGGGCUCUUCGUCUAGAAUUUCAGUGGAUUGAGUUAGGAGAGAAGGGGAGAUGAUAAUUGAUUUUUGGGGAGAAUGGGAGAUGAUAAUCUGUUUGUAAUCGGGCCGAAUGGGCUUGGUGGGGUGGGUUGAGUAGAAUAACCUUAUUAUUUUUUGUUGGAUUAGGCUUUAUAUUUAGACAUUAGUAGAUUUUUUUAAAAAUUUUGGCAUAAAUGCGACACUUACACAAAAGUGUCCCAAACAUGUGUCGCUAUAACCUAAUUCUGUUGUAGUGCGGACGGUUUUUGAAUUCUAUAAAAUAAACAGCAGCGUGAUGAAAACCAGCAAAUUUUACUUUAAUUUUAAAAUCUAAAAUAGAUAAACGAAACAAAUCAUAGAUGUUCUCCAUGAGCGGUGAUGUUACUACUAUUUGUAGGAUCUAAAACAGGAAAAAUUUUAGAAUGCGUCAGUUAUAUUGGUGACAUAGCGUUCCCAACCAAUCAAAUAAAUUCUUUUAUAUUAAUCCAUCACAUCAUAAUUAAAAAAAAUUUAUUGUACUUUUUUCUAAAAGAAAAGAUAUAACUGGUUUGUUAUUACUGAUACGGUGCAAGUGCGAUACAGUAAACUAAUACUCA
rnacentral:lncRNA from 1 species